GAAGCCACGUGGAAGAAAUGGGUGUUUAUCCUGAGCAGCACUCUCGGCAGCAGUUAGAUUACAGGUGAAAAGAACGGGAAAAUGAGAAGGGCUACAUCCUCCUGCAGAGUGGUGCUUCUGAUGUGCUGGGAACGAUUCCUGGCUUUCGUCUGGAGAUAAAAGAGCCAUGUUGGCGAUCCUGCAGUCACCUCCCAGGAGGAAGCAAACCAGCUCUGAGAAAGUCCGGAUGGAGUCUGGGACCCUCACACACGAGCCGCGUGCACUCCGGCGGAAGCUGCCCCUUCUUCCCACGAGGCGAGUGCCCAGGCAACCUCCGACACCCGGAGGAGCAGCGUCCAGGUCUCCAGGUGCCCGUCCCCCUGGCUGCCUCCUUGGAUUUCACCAAGGAUUUCACCGGUGAUGGCCUGCUGCGAUGGUCACCAUCUCAGAGAAGCCUCUUCCCUGGGAACAGCUGCAACCAGCAAGAGCUGGCAUGGAGAAGGACAGGAUCCUGACGUCCUGCUCGGGGAAUGCCCAGCUUCCAGGUGCUGAGAGGCUCCGCCAGCAAACAAAGCGAGUCCCUGAGAGCAGGUCAGGAUGUGGGCGCAGUGGGCCUGGGGCUCUGCCGCCAGAGAGAGCCAGCUGGGAGAGCUCAGGGGUCCCAGGGGACCUUCAGAGCAGGAGAGUGGGGAAGCGCGACAGGAAGCCGGGCCAGGGUUCCACGGAGGCGGCGUCCUGGCCGCAGCCUGGUCUCUGCAGAGCCUGGCAGCACAAACUGACCCCACCCCCACCCCACGGCCAGUCAGAGCAGCUGCAGGUCUCUGCACUGCACAUUGGGGAGUCACUGCAGACUCUGGGAUUCCGCGAAGUCCCGGGGAGAGGGAGGGCUGUCCGCAGCACGGGGAGGUGUGUGCCCAGAGCUGGAAGGGCACCAGGGGAUCCAGCAUCUGCUACAUCCACAAGGAAGCUUUGUAUCCUCACCUACUAGCUUGGCACCCCCUUUUUUAAAAAAAGAUUUAUUUUUUUAUUUUAAAGCCAGAGUUACAGAGACAGGGAGGCAGAGAGAGAGCGAAAUUUUCAUCACUGGUUCACUCCCCAAAUGGCUGCAACAGCCAGGGCUGGGCCAGGCUGAAGCCCGAGCCUGGAACUCCAUGCAGGUCUCCCCCGUGGGUGGCAGGGGUCCAAGUACUUGGGCCAUCUUCUGCUGCUUCUCAGGUGCAUCAGAAGGGAGCAGGAUC
rnacentral:lncRNA from 1 species